rnacentral:rRNA from 1 species
CCUACGGGAGGCAGCAGUGAGGAAUAUUGGUCAAUGGAGGCAACUCUGAACCAGCCAAGUAGCGUGCAGGAUGACGGCCCUAUGGGUUGUAAACUGCUUUUAUGCGGGGAUAAACUGAGUUACGUGUAGCUUUUUGCAGGUACCGUAUGAAUAAGUACCGGCUAAUCCCGUGCCAGCAGCCGCGGUAAUACGGAAGGUCCGGGCGUUAUCCGGAUUUAUUGGGUUUCAAGGGAGCGAAGGCCGCCCCUUAAGCGUGUUGUGAAAUGCCGCGGCUCAACCGGGGCCCUGCAGCGCGAACUGGGGGGCUUGAGUGCGCGGGAGGCAGGCGGAAUUCGUGGUGUAGCGGUGAAAUGCUUAGAUAUGACGAAGAACUCCGAUUGCGAAGGCAGCCUACCGUAGCGUAACUGACGCUGAGGCUCGAAAGUGCGGGUAUCGAACAGGAUUAGAUACCCCAGUAGUC